GAUUGUGAGUCCACAGUCUGCUGUGACAGGAAGAAGUACAGUGGACACCGGAAAUGAAGGAGAACAACUACACAAAAAUGAGAAGAGCAGCCAAAAUGAAAAUGGUGAAGAGUCAAUUGAGCAGCAGAACAAGAGCCAAUGUACAUCUAUUAAUGAGGAUGACCAGAGGCCAGAAGGGGAAAGGGAGGAGGAGAGAAAACUGAAAAGGAAAACCACGAAGUGACAGGUAGAAUACACACAGAUCCACCGUCUAACCUGGACACCAGUGUCCCAUCUACAAACAUGAAUAUGGAAUUAGAAAAUAAACAAACUGCAUUCUUCCCUCAUAAGGAAGAAGAUGAUGGUGAGCAGACAGAUAAGAGCAGCGGGUCAGAACAAGGCAUGAAAGAGAAAAAUGAUGUUCCAGAAAUUAAAGAGACAAAAAAUUAACUUUCCAGACAACACAAACAAUGACAUAACUGUGCCAGAGCACAAGAAAGCAGAAACGGAGACCAACAGCUUCUCAAAUCAUGCAAUGAAGGAAGGUCAUAGUUCAGAAAUCAUAGAACAACAUUUGAAUAAACAGUGCUGUACAGAAUGUGAUGAUAAAGUUUAUAGUGAGGAAGGCGAAAUGGGCUCAGUUUUAUCAGCUGUAAAGGAGGAAGAGAAAAUCUGUCGACUAGAGCCAUGUGAAGAUAGUAGUGUUAGUUAAAAGAAUGGUGAAGUGUGUGCUUGAACAAGGUGUGGAGAAGUGAUAUUCAAAUAUUUUAGUAUAAAAAAUAGGUUGUCAGUUUAUAAAUGUAGAACAAUUAAUUUAGUACAAUUUAUUUUAUAUAACUGAUUGUACUACAUUAAGAUUUUUUUUUGUGUGUAGCCCUCCCGCCGGGUAGAAUCUUAUGGCUCACAAGUUAGAAAUCUAUCUAGGGGAUCUUGAAUUUACCCAAUACCCCGGUAAAGGCACAUUCUCUUCAGUCACAGUACAACUAUAACCCAGAUUGUCAGAUUUAUGUUUCUUCUUUUUCUGAAAAUAAUAAAUGAAUAAACCACUA